rnacentral:rRNA from 1 species
UACGGGGGGUGCAAGCGUUGUUCGGAUUUACUGGGCGUAAAGGGCGCGUAGGCGGCCAGCACAAGUCAGUUGUGAAAUCUCCGAGCUUAACUCGGAAAGGUCAACUGAUACUGUGCGGCUAGAGUGCGGAAGGGGCAACUGGAAUUCUUGGUGUAGCGGUGAAAUGCGUAGAUAUCAAGAGGAACACCUGCGGCGAAGGCGGGUUGCUGGGCCGACACUGACGCUGAUGCGCGAAAGCCAGGGGAGCGAACGGG